GAUGGUUAGCAUUUUUAACCAAUAAAUACUUUUUAAUUAAGGUACAUACAUUUUCAGGCAUUAUACUAUUACUCAUUUAAUAAAUGACAUAAUGGUGUAAACAUAACUUAUAUACACUGAGAAACCAAAAAAUUCAUGUGACUUACUUUAUCAUGAUGUUCACUUUAUUGCAGUGGUCUGAAACCGAGCCUGCUAUAUCUCCGAGGCAUGCCUAUAUUAAAUUACCUUGGUUGCAAUGAAAAUCCUCUGAACCUGUGGCUUACCAGGACUUCAGAGUCCCCAAAAUGGAUAAGGCUCAGGAAAGAUCAGUUGCCUCAAAGAGGAGAGUUGCAGUUAUUAUUACUCCCAGAUACCACUGUAUUUUCAGAAAACAAGGGCAGAGGAGUGCCUGGAUAUAGUUGUCCUUCUUUCUCUGGUUCCAUACCAAAGGUGGGAGCUUUCUUUCUCAGCAUGUUGAUUUUCUUUCCUGGAGGAUGGAGAAGAUGCUGGCAUGAGAAAAAGUAAUCUAAUUCCACUUGCAAGAAUGUUUUUGUAAUAAUGUCUCUGGAAUUAUUGCUAAACAUCAUAUCCUCAAUUUGUGGAAAUCAUUUUUACUAGGUUUAUAUGUUUUGAACUAGAAUUUUCCCCUAUAGUCCAUUUUUUCUGCUCCUCAUUAAAUACAUCUCUUUUUCUAAGAAAGUUCUGUCUGUUUUAUGGAUUAAGAUGCAUUUGCCUAUAAUAUUCUCUCAAACACUUGGUAAAAGUCUCUAGGGCUGAAGCCUGUAAAAGUCAGUCAGCUGAAUCCCAAAACUGGUGACUGUACUCUUGUUGGCAAUAGUUAGAGUGGAAAUACUUGGGCUCUGUCCCAGUAAAAUCCUCUAAAUUUCGUUGAAGUAAAGGAAAGUGUUGUCAACACAAAGGACGUUCUACUUCGAUCAAAUGUAUUGGCUUGUAGAUUCCCUUGGGGUUAAUGAAGGUGGGAGGAAAGGGGAAAAGGGACUCUCUAAUUGAUAAAGGUUUCAAUGAAUCAGAAGAGAAAUAGGUAGCUUGUGGCCUUAGACUUAUGAGGUCUUUGAGAAUAAAAACUUGAACCUAUCAAUUCUGUCUAGCUAG
rnacentral:lncRNA from 1 species